GAUGAAGAACGUAGCGAAAUGCGAUAAGUAGUGUGAAUUGCAGAAUUCAGUGAAUCAUCGAAUCUUUGAACGCACAUUGCGCCCCUUGGUAUCCCGAGGGGCAUGCCUGUUCGAGCGUCAUUUCACCACUCAAGCCUGGCUUGGUGUUGGGCGACGUCCUCUUUGGGGACGCGCCUCGAAACGCUCGGCGGCGUGGCACCGGCUUUAAGCGUAGCAGAAUCUUUCGCUUUGGAAGUCGGGGCCCCGUCUGCCGGAAGACCUGCUCGCAAGGUUGACCUCGGAUCAGGCAGGCAUACCCGCUGAACUUAAGCAUAUCAAUAAGCGGAGGA
rnacentral:misc_RNA from 1 species